rnacentral:rRNA from 1 species
CGAUCAGUAGGGGUUCUGAGAGGAAGGUCCCCCACAUUGGAACUGAGACACGGUCCAAACUCCUACGGGAGGCAGCAGUGAGGAAUAUUGGUCAAUGGGCGAGAGCCUGAACCAGCCAAGUAGCGUGCAGGAAGACGGCCCUAUGGGUUGUAAACUGCUUUUAUAAGGGAAUAAAGUGAGUCUCGUGAGACUUUUUGCAUGUACCUUAUGAAUAAGGACCGGCUAAUUCCGUGCCAGCAGCCGCGGUAAUACGGAAGGUCCGGGCGUUAUCCGGAUUUAUUGGGUUUAAAGGGAGCGUAGGCCGGAGAUUAAGCGUGUUGUGAAAUGUAGACGCUCAACGUCUGCACUGCAGCGCGAACUGGUUUCCUUGAGUACGCACAAAGUGGGCGGAAUUCGUGGUGUAGCGGUGAAAUGCUUAGAUAUCACGAAGAACUCCGAUUGCGAAGGCAGCUCACUGGAGCGCAACUGACGCUGAAGCUCGAAAGUGCGGGUAUCGAACAGGAUUAGAUACCCUGGUAGUCUGCACGGUAAACGAUGGAUGCCCGCUGUUGGUCUGAACAGGUCAGCGGCCAAGCGAAAGCAUUAAGCAUCCCACCUGGGGAGUACGCCGGCAACGGUGAAACUCAAAGGAAUUGACGGGGGCCCGCACAAGCGGAGGAACAUGUGGUUUAAUUCGAUGAUACGCGAGGAACCUUACCCGGGCUUGAAUUGCAGAGGAAGGAUUUGGAGACAAUGACGCCCUUCGGGGUCUCUGUGAAGGUGCUGCAUGGUUGUCGUCAGCUCGUGCCGUGAGGUGUCGGCUUAAGUGCCAUAACGAGCGCAACCCCUCUCCUUAGUUGCCAUCAGGUUAAGCUGGGCACUCUGGGGACACUGCCACCGUAAGGUGUGAGGAAGGUGGGGAUGACGUCAAAUCAGCACGGCCCUUACGUCCGGGGCUACACACGUGUUACAAUGGCAGGUACAGAGAGACGGUUGUACGUAAGUACGAUCAAAUCCUUAAAGCCUGUCUCAGUUCGGACUGGGGUCUGCAACCCGACCCCACGAAGCUGGAUUCGCUAGUAAUCGCGCAUCAGCCAUGGCGCGGUGAAUACGUUCCCGGGCCUUGUACACACCGCCCGUCAAGCCAUGAAAGCCGGGGGCGCCUAAAGUCCGUGACCGUAAGGAGCGGCCUAGGGCGAAACUGGUAAUUGGGGCUAAGUCGUAACAAGGUA